UGAGCAGGAAUAUUUUUUGGACACCUGAGACCGGGGGAGCAGCCCUGGCACUGGCAGCAAUGAACACGAGCCCUUUUGUGAUCCCCAGACACUCAGCAUAGCUGCAGUCAGCAGCAACUUGUGCCGUGGUCAGUAGUGAUGGGCUGUUUAAUGCAUUUCCAGUAUGGCUUUCUAAUUUACCGAGCCCUAAAUUGCAGCCUGUUGCACGUGGCUGUGGAUUGAGGCUGCUUUUGGACAGCUCUGCUAUGAUCGUGGCUUGGGGCAGGGACAGACGGGGCAUCUUGGAGGAGGCAUCAGCAGCACGUGUGGCCAGCAGCUGAGAAAGCUGAAACGCAGCGGCUGCCACCGCCUAAAUGGUGGCUGUGGAGGGGGUAUUUGUCGCAGCCACGCACGCGCACUUGCACUUUGCUCCUCUUAGGACUGGUCUCGUUGCCAUCUUGCACAGUCCUGCCUGCCUCACUUCUCCCCUUACUCCUUAACCAGCCUUCCUCCUUCCCCAUCCGAGUCCCACACGGGCUUCUUGGAGCCUGUGCUGAGAAGUCCAUUUCUGACCCAGUUCCAGACACUUUACCUUUUCUUUCCUGGGACCGUGGAUGCUCUGAUUUCCCCUGCUGUCUUUCUCCUGCCUCUGCAGAAUGUGCUGAAAGGAGCAGGGAUCUCACUUGGCUUUUCUUAGGAGGAGGAAAGAGAAGGCUCUGAGGCUAUUAUUAGAUGUGGGGACUUAAAAGGUAAAUAGAUUUCAGCUGUGAUAUUGGGCAGCUACAACCAGCAGCAACCUACCCGAGCUGGAAGAGUGUGAGCAGGCUGCAGCAGGACUGGAGAACGUGCUGUCCUCCUUCCUGCUGCCCCUGCAGCUUUGCCCUCAUCCUCUGCCCAUGGCUCUGCUUGGAGCCAYGCGG